CAGAUAUUUUUUUCCUGUAAAAGUGCAGCGCAAGAUAUUUUUUUCCCAAUAUAUUUGGCCGCAGGAUAUUUUUUUUUGCCUCUCAUAAUAACGGCUUACAGCAACUUUAGGCUUUCAUAUAGCUAUCAUCGGAGACGUAGCAGGGGUUUUCAGUCAGAGGAGGCCGAGAACUGAAUCCCAAGAGGGGCCAAGGAAUUUUCACUGUGCUUUAUUUUAUAUGGUUAUGUCUUAAUGUUCCCCACACUAAAGCGUGCAAGUUUACUUACAAAGAAUGUAUAACUGCACCAAAACCUAAAACAUGCAGGGAUAGAGUAGAGUACUCGAAAAUGGGGGAGGGAACAGUAUAUGAAUGACCUGUAACCUUGGGGGGUUCGGGGGCAUGCUCCCCCGAGAAAAUUUUAAAAUUUGAACCUCGGAAAUGCUAUUUCCUGCGUUUUCAGCCAUGGAUAAUUAUCUUAAGCCCAGAUUUUCUCAGGGGGGGCAACAAUUUUGCCAGGGAACACCACUGGCUAUCGUAUGUCAGAGGCUCCAAAGGCGGUAGAAUCCCUGUGAUGUUAUCCACUGUUCACCCCGUGUUCUUUUAAGCAAAUGUGCCUGCUCAAAAAUGCAAAAUCUUGCAAGCCUGUGGACACAAUACUGAAGUGAAGAGCAUCAGUAGAGUUACA